GCAAAAGAUACUAGUGACCGAGCUAGUAUCAAUUGUCAACCGAAAUUUCCCGAGGGCAUUACACCUUGUCAGCUGUAUCUAUCGUCACCAACUUAUCGCAUAGUUGGCAAGGGAAAAGUGCACAACACUUCGGGUGAAUUACUUCACCAUAAUCCCCUCCCGGUGGGAUAUAUGAAAGUUUCGGUUGACCUUGUAUUAGAUACGGACGCGCUUCUACCAUUACCUGACGUUGUUUCAGAGACAACAUUGAUGCGAGAUGCAGUCGGAUCCUUUGUUGGAUGGCCGUCAGAUCUAAUUUUCCCAGAUGCCGAGACUCCUACAAGACCCACACAUAAAGCUGGUAAAGGGAUUUCAAGACGCAUCGAGUCGGUUGCAUCUCAAAAAGAGGU